UGAACGCUGGCGGUAUGCUUAACACAUGCAAGUCGAACGGAAACGAUACUAGCUUGCUAGUAGGCGUCGAGUGGCGGACGGGUGAGUAACGCGUAGGAAUCUGCCUGAUAGUGGGGGAUAGCCCGAAGAAAUUCGGAUUAAUACCGCAUAAUCUAUUCGUAGUAAAGUGGGGGACUUUCGAGCCUCACGCUAUCAGAUGAGCCUGCGUAAGAUUAGCUUGUUGGUAGGGUAAAAGCCUACCAAGGCGACGAUCUUUAGCUGGUCUGAGAGGAUGAUCAGCCACAUCGGGACUGAGACACGGCCCGAACUCCUACGGGAGGCAGCAGUGGGGAAUAUUGGACAAUGGGGGCAACCCUGAUCCAGCAAUACCGCGUGUGUGAAGAAGGCCUGAGGGUUGUAAAGCACUUUCAAUUGUGAAGAAAAGUUAGCGGUUAAUAACCGUUAGCCUUGACGUUAACUUUAGAAGAAGCACCGGCUAACUCCGUGCCAGCAGCCGCGGUAAUACGGAGGGUGCAAGCGUUAAUCGGAAUUACUGGGCGUAAAGCGUGCGUAGGUGGUUUAUUAAGUCAGAUGUGAAAGCCCCGGGCUUAACCUGGGAACUGCAUUUGAAACUGGUCAACUAGAGUAUGGUAGAGGAAAGUGGAAUUUCUGGUGUAGCGGUGAAAUGCGUAGAUAUCAGAAGGAACAUCAAUGGCGAAGGCAGCUUUCUGGACCAAUACUGACACUGAGGUACGAAAGCGUGGGUAGCAAACAGGAUUAGAUACCCUGGUAGUCCACGCCGUAAACGAUGAUAACUAGCCGUUGGGGGGAUUUACCCUUUAGUGGCGAAGCUAACGCGUUAAGUUAUCCGCCUGGGGAGUACGGCCGCAAGGUUAAAACUCAAAGGAAUUGACGGGGACCCGCACAAGCGGUGGAGCAUGUGGUUUAAUUCGAUGCAACGCGAAGAACCUUACCUGGUCUUGACAUCCUGCGAACUUUCUAGAAAUAGAUUGGUGCCUUCGGGAACGCAGUGACAGGUGCUGCAUGGCUGUCGUCAGCUCGUGUCGUGAGAUGUUGGGUUAAGUCCCGUAACGAGCGCAACCCCUAUCCUUAUUUGCCAGCACAUCAUGGUGGGAACUAUAAGGAGACUGCCGGUGAUAAACCGGAGGAAGGCGGGGACGACGUCAAGUCAUCAUGGCCCUUACGACCAGGGCUACACACGUGCUACAAUGGGAAGGACAAAGAGCCGCGAAGCCGCGAGGUGUAGCUAAUCUCAUAAACCUUUUCGUAGUCCGGAUUGGAGUCUGCAACUCGACUCCAUGAAGUCGGAAUCGCUAGUAAUCGUAGAUCAGAAUGCUACGGUGAAUACGUUCCCGGGUCUUGUACACACCGC
rnacentral:rRNA from 1 species